rnacentral:rRNA from 1 species
UACGUAGGGAGCAAGCGUUGUCCGGAAUCAUUGGGCGUAAAGCGCGCGUAGGCGGCCUCAUAAGUCCGUUGUGAAAGUCAAAGGCUCAACCUUUGAAAGCCGAUGGAUACUGUGAGGCUAGAGUCCGGAAGGGGCGAGUGGAAUUCCUGGUGUAGCGGUGGAAUGCGCAGAUAUCAGGAGGAACACCAAUAGCGAAGGCAGCUCGCUGGGACGGUACUGACGCUAAGGCGCGAAAGCGUGGGGAGCGAACAGG